GCUGACGACUCACUUGGGAAGAAGAAAAGACACAAAAUGUUGUGCUGGCUCUCUAAGUGAAGGAAGGUUGAUCCUUGGAAGAACCUCAGCUAAAACUCCCAAAGAGGAGACCUUCCCAAUUUUAACAGGAAAGUGCAUAGGAAUGGAGAUCAAUUUAAGCUGUGCUGUGCAAAGAGGGGAGAAAUCUGGUGAUGGUCCUACAAAUGUCACUGACAAG